rnacentral:ncRNA from 1 species
AGGGGAGGUGACAAAGGAGAAAAUGCCCUUAACACGGAAAGGAUUGACAGAUUGAUAGCUCUUUCUCAAUUCUGUGGGUGGUGCUGCAUGGCCGUUCUUAGUUGGUGGAGCGAUUUGUCUGGUUAAUUCCGAUAACGAAUGAGACUCUGGCAUGCUAACUAGUUAAGUGACCCUUGAGUGGUCGGUGUCCCAACUUCUUAGAGGGAGAAGUGGUGUUCAGCCACCCGAGAUUGAGCAAUAACAGGUCUGUGAUGCCCUUAAAUAUCCAGGGCUGCACGCGCGCUACACUGACUGGCUCAGCGUGUGUCUACCCUACGCUGGCAGGUGCGGGUAACCCGUUGAACCCCAUUCAUGAUGGGGAUCGGGGAUUGCAAUUAUUCCCCAUGAACGAGGAAUU